rnacentral:miRNA from 1 species
UUUCAAGUGUGUGAGUGUGAGUGUGUGUACAUAUAUGAAUACACACACACACACACACACACACACACACACACACACACAC